rnacentral:rRNA from 1 species
GAUGAACGCUGGCGGCGUGCCUAAUACAUGCAAGUCGAGCGAACAGAUGAGGAGCUUGCUCCUCUGACGUUAGCGGCGGACGGGUGAGUAACACGUGGAUAACCUACCUAUAAGACUGGGAUAACUUCGGGAAACCGGAGCUAAUACCGGAUAAUAUAUUGAACCGCAUGGUUCAAUAGUGAAAGACGGUUUUGCUGUCACUUAUAGAUGGAUCCGCGCCGCAUUAGCUAGUUGGUAAGGUAACGGCUUACCAAGGCAACGAUGCGUAGCCGACCUGAGAGGGGGAUCGGCCACACUGGAACUGAGACAGGGUCAAGACUCCUACGGGAGGCAGCAGUAGGGAAUCUUCCGCAAUGGGCGAAAGCCUGACGGAGCAAGGCCGCGUGAGUGAUGAAGGUCUUCGGAUCGUAAAACUCUGUUAUGAGGGAAGAACAAAUGUGUAAGUAACUAUGCACGUCUUGACGGUACCUAAUCAGAAAGCCACGGCUAACUACGUG